rnacentral:rRNA from 1 species
GCAGAACGCGAAGAACCUUACCAACCCUUGACAUGGCGAUCGCGGUUCCAGAGAUGGUUCCUUCAGUUCGGCUGGAUCGCACACAGGUGCUGCAUGGCUGUCGUCAGCUCGUGUCGUGAGAUGUUCGGUUAAGUCCGGCAACGAGCGCAACCCACAUUCUUAGUUGCCAUCAUUCAGUUGGGCACUCUAGGAAAACUGCCGAUGAUAAGUCGGAGGAAGGUGUGGAUGACGUCAAGUCCUCAUGGCCCUUACGGGUUGGGCUACACACGUGCUACAAUGGCAGUGACAAUGGGUUAAUCCCUAAAAGCUGUCUCAGUUCGGAUUGGGGUCUGCAACUCGACCCCAUGAAGUCGGAAUCGCUAGUAAUCGCGUAACAGCAUGACGCGGUGAAUACGUUCCCGGGUCUUGUACACACCG